GACGAACGCUGGCGGCGUGCUUAACACAUGCAAGUCGAGCGGCGCGGCGAACGGGUGAGUCACGCGUGAGUUACUGCCCCCCUCUCUGGGCUAACAGUUGGAAACGGCUGCUAAUACCGGAUAGUGGGGGAUGACUCGCGUCCUAUCAGCUUGUGGGUGGGGUAGUGGCCUACCAAGGCGACGACGGGUAGCCGGCCUGAGAGGGCGACCGGCCACAUUGGGCGGAGAUACGGCGCAGACUCCGACGGGGGGCAGCAGUGGGGAAGAGUGCACAAUGGGGGAAGCCCUGAUGCAGCAACGCCGCGGGCGGGAUGACGGCCGUCGGGUUGUAAACCGCUUUCAGCCAGGACGCGGUAGUGGCAGAAGAAGCACCGUCUAACUACGUGCCAGCAGCCGCGGUAAUUC
rnacentral:rRNA from 1 species